GCCUUAGUAACGGCGAGUGAAGCGGCAACAGCUCAAAUUUGAAAUCUGGCUCUUUCAGAGUCCGAGUUGUAAUUUGCAGAGGGCGCUUUGGCUUUGGCAGCGGUCCAAGUUCCUUGGAACAGGACGUCACAGAGGGUGAGAAUCCCGUACGUGGUCGCUAGCUAUUGCCGUGUAAAGCCCCUUCGACGAGUCGAGUUGUUUGGGAAUGCAGCUCUAAAUGGGAGGUAAAUUUCUUCUAAAGCUAAAUAUUGGCCAGAGACCGAUAGCGCACAAGUAGAGUGAUCGAAAGAUGAAAAGCACUUUGGAAAGAGAGUCAAACAGCACGUGAAAUUGUUGAAAGGGAAGCGCUUGCAGCCAGACUUGCUUGCAGUUGCUCAUCCGGGCUUUUGCCCGGUGCACUCUUCUGCAGGCAGGCCAGCAUCAGUUUGGGCGGUGGGAUAAAGGUCUCUGACACGUUCCUUCCUUCGGGUUGGCCAUAUAGGGGAGACGUCAUACCACCAGCCUGGACUGAGGUCCGCGCAUCUGCUAGGAUGCUGGCGUAAUGGCUGUAAGCGGCCCGUCUUGAAACACGGACCAAGGAGUCUAACAUCUAUGCGAGUGUUUGGGUGUCAAGCCCGAGCGCGUAAUGAAAGUGAACGGAGGUGGGAACCCGCAAGGGCGCACCAUCGACCGAUCCUGAAGUUUACGGAAGGAUUUGAGUAAGAGCAUGGCUGUUGGGACCCGAAAGAUGGUGAACUAUGCUUGAAUAGGGUGAAGCCAGAGGAAACUCUGGUGGAGGCUCGCAGCGGUUCUGACGUGCAAAUCGAUCGUCAAAUUUGGGCAUAGGGGCGAAAGACUAAUCGAACUAUCUAGUAGCUAGUUCCUG
rnacentral:rRNA from 1 species